GGUAGUGUGGCCGAGCGGUCUAAGGCGCUGGAUUUAGCCUCAGGAGGCGUGGGUUCAAAUCCCACCACUGCCA